rnacentral:misc_RNA from 1 species
UCUCCGUAGGUGAACCUGCGGAGGGAUCAUUACAGAGUUCUCGCCCUUACGGGUAGUUCUCCCACCCACUGUUAUCGUUACUGUCGUUUCUUUGGCGGGCCGCCGGGUCCCCGGCCGCCGGCGCCUAGCUGCCGGCGCGCGCCCGCCAGAGGCCUUCAAACUCUGAAUGUUAGUGUCGUCUGAGUACUAUAUAAUAGUUAAAACUUUCAACAACGGAUCUCUUGGUUCUG